AUUUAUGCCAGUAGCAUUUGCAAAUGGCAAUGGAUUUUACAUACACUAUUCAGACAUUCGGCGGGAAGGUCGUAUGUCGAGAGGGCAAUAGCCUAGAGGCGCAGCUCAGGUACCCAAUUAGUUUAUUAUAAUCAGG
rnacentral:rRNA from 1 species